AGUGAACGCUGGCGGUAGGCCUAACACAUGCAAGUCGAACGGCAGCACAGUAAGAGCUUGCUCUUACGGGUGGCGAGUGGCGGACGGGUGAGGAAUACAUCGGAAUCUACUUUUUCGUGGGGGAUAACGUAGGGAAACUUACGCUAAUACCGCAUACGACCUACGGGUGAAAGCAGGGGAUCUUCGGACCUUGCGCGAUUGAAUGAGCCGAUGUCGGAUUAGCUAGUUGGCGGGGUAAAGGCCCACCAAGGCGACGAUCCGUAGCUGGUCUGAGAGGAUGAUCAGCCACACUGGAACUGAGAUACGGUCCAGACUCCUACGGGAGGCAGCAGUGGGGAAUAUUGGACAAUGGGCGCAAGCCUGAUCCAGCCAUACCGCGUGGGUGAAGAAGGCCUUCGGGUUGUAAAGCCCUUUUGUUGGGAAAGAAAAUCAGCAGGUUAAUACCCCGCUGUUCUGACGGUACCCAAAGAAUAAGCACCGGCUAACUUCGUG
rnacentral:rRNA from 1 species